rnacentral:rRNA from 1 species
GUGAGGCGAAGCUGAGCAGCACGCCGCGUGAGUGAUGAAGGCCUUCGGGUCGUAAAGCCCUGUUCUUGUGGGAAGAAUGGCCCGGGGGUUAAUACCCUUUUUGCAGUGAUAGAGUACCAUGCCAAGGACCCCUCGUAAAUAACUCCGUGCCAAACACCCGCGGGAUAAUA